UCGGGUAUGGUGUAACGGCUAACAUUGCCGCCUCUCAUUCCCAAGAGAGUCAGAUUGUGGCCUAAACGCGGCAGCUCGGGGUUCGAUUCCCCGUACCCGAA